UACGUAGGGUGAGCGUUAAUCGGAAUUACUGGGCGUAAAGUGUGCGCAGGCGGCGUUGCACGUCGAGUGUGAAAUCCCCGAGCUUAACUUGGGAAUUGCGCUCGAAACUACGAUGCUCGAGUGUGGCAGAGGAAGGUGGAAUUCCACGUGUAGCGGUGAAAUGCGUAGAGAUGUGGAGGAACACCGAUGGCGAAGGCAGCCUUCUGGGCCAACACUGACGCUCAUGCACGAAAGCGUGGGGAGCAAACAGG
rnacentral:rRNA from 1 species